AGUUGCCUCAGCACGUCUGCGCAGCUUUCCUUGCGGCGCCCCUCCGCGUGGUCUAUGAUGGUGCAUUUUGGUCCAGUCAGGCCCGGUGUGGUCGGCCUCAUUUUGGAUUACUUCGGUGGGCUUCUCCUCGGCGUGGUUACGGUCUAGUACACCUUAGUGUGCUUUUCUCUGCAUGGUCCUUCCCAGCGUGGCUCGUCUCAGCAGCGUGGUUUUCAUCCGUGUGAUCGUCCUCUGCAUGGUUUUUCACGGUGAGGUCAUAUCAGCCAGCCACCAGCCUCAGCAUAUUUGUCCACAGUUCUUUUGGAGCUGCCUCUGCUCGGAUCACUUGAGCACUACACCUCAGUCCCGACUAGCCAUCCUCAGUGUGCUUUGCUCAACGCGAUCCUCCUCAGUGUUUGUCCUGAGCCUAGACCUCCAUGGUGAGGUCUUAUCUUGUUUCGUCAUGGUGGUCGGCGAUAUGGUCCGAUCUGCCUCAGCAAUUGGGUCACUUCCGUGUGGAUCGUUUCAGCACGGAUCACUCCAGCGCGGUCGGCUGCCUUGGCGCGAUCCACUUGGCUUCUCAGCAUUUUUUUUUAGCCUGCUGGGUUCUCUCAGUUUUUCUUCAACACGCUUCUUUUCCCUCUGUGUGAUUCUACUUGGAGAGCUUUUCUGUUCAGCUUGGUUCCCAGCGCUUCUUUUUCUCGGCAUGGUUCUCCUAGUGAUGCAUUUACUUUAUGGAAUGGGUUUCCCACAACUACUACAGCAGUCUUUUACAUUUAUUUCCAAUAUAAACAUACAAAUGUGGGCAUACAUCUGUAUGUGUAUAUAAAUUUUAACACAUUUAGCAUUUAUGUGUAAUGCAAAGGAUGUUUAGAAGUCAUACAAUGGAAAUACAAGAACACUAUAUAUAGUCUUUUAAAAAUCUGAAAUAGAACAUAAAACUAAAAAAAAAGUUAAGAAAACUUCAAAAUCUCUAGGACUUUAGAUUUGAAAGAGAAUUGAGAUGCAACACCGAAAACUUAAUCCAAGUGGGGGAGGGGACUCAAUUUUAUUAUAAUUAGAAACAAAUGAGUUAUUCCUGCAACAAGUGCAUUUUUCUAAGUAGCAACAGAAGCAAGGAGGAACAGGCUCACUGACUGUUAAAAUGCUGUGCUUUGUGAAGGCAAUGAGACAAGUCACAGAUUUACUGCAUAUCACUUAAUGGAAUCAAGGGCCUUGUACCCAGAGUAUAUAAAGAAGAAUGAUCAUAAUUUGACAACAGUGAAGCAAACAACCCAUCUUAAAAAGUGGAUUACAAAUAAGCAUGGGAAAUUGUGCUCAGCCACAGUCUAUGGUCUUUAUGGAAAUACAAUAUUAAAGCUUCAGUGAGAUAACCCUGAAAAUUAUCAUGAAGAUGGAUAAAGCAUUAAAUUAAAACCUUGUAACAGCCAGCACUUCAAGGAGGCAGAAUGACUGCAACCCUCAUGUGCCCGAGGUGGGAAUGCAAAGUGGCCCAACUGCUCUGAAGAACAAACUUCAUAGCCUUAUAAACACACAUAUGAUUUAUGACUCAGUGUAUGGGAUAUUUAAGUUCACAUAAAUCUGCACACAAAAAUAUACAGCAAUUUUACCUCUAGUUGCACCAAACAAGUUAUAACCAAGAUGGCAACAGUGAAAUGAAUAAAGAAAUCGUGGUGUGUCUAUCUGUCCCACCUAUGCAGUGGAAUAAUGUCCAGCAAUCAACUAGAAUAUUGGAGGAUCCUGGGACAGAUAAUAGACUAUGAUAAUUUUGUUUCACACAGGGGUACUGUAUAUCAAGGAUUAUACAAACCAGUAUCUAUACUAGAAAAUGGGAGCUGAGGACAAAGUAAGGAUAAUCAGAAACAGUAUAAACUCGAGGUAAGCUGCAUAAAGAUACAAACCCUGAAACAUGGAUGUAUAUAGACUUUCAUUAUAGACAUACAUAUUUCCUAGUUCUACCUGCAGAAAGGAUAUGUUAUCAGUGACCCUUUUGUGGCAAAGAACACACUCUGUGCCCAGGUCAUAUAUAACACUGUUAGUCUGCCAAUAAAAGCGAAUAUGGCUCCUUGGAAGAAUGGCCGCUUCUGGGGCUAGCACAGGGAAACUACACGAUGAACCUAAAAGGAACUAAAUGGAAAGCAUGUCUAAAGGGCUCCUGUACAAGUGGCUAAAGUAGAAAAAGGUUAGCCACAAAACAAUAAUCCUCAGCUAUACCCCAGAAACACAGUUGCCAAGUCCGUCUGUAUUUCUAAAUAACUGAAAGUGAGAUGAAAAAAGUGAUCUCUGUAAGUGUAGAAGGAACGAGUUAACCAGAAGUGCACCGUAGAAAUGCUUGAAAGAUCCGUGGAUGAAGGCUAGAAUAGAAUUAGUAGGUGAAAUCUUUUUUUUUUGUAAUUAUUCCUUCAUUCUCUUUAUUGAUCCAUGUUGAACAUAUACAAUAAACUAAAAAGCCACUUUGUUCAUUUAAUUAUCAUAUAUGAUUGUAUUGUCCAUUUUACAGUUAUGUUGUUUUCCAGUGACAUUGAUUGAAUCCCGGGCUUUGUUCAUGCUAGACAAGCAUUCUGCCACUACACUACAUCCUUAGUCCCAAAAUAAAUUUUAAUUGCUUUAGUGAUUUUAACACAUUCACAGAGUCUCUAAUACUCUUUGCAAGAGAUAGAAUGAAAUUCCUCAUUCUCCGAAUGUUGGCCAGACCUGGUGACUUGCUUUUAAUAACUAGGUCUAAUAAAGGUGAAAUAGUGGGUCAAUUACAGUGAGCUAUUUAAUCAUGUAAAGUUGACACCAUGGUGAUGGAAGAAAAUGAGAAAAGCACCUUGCCUUAAUGACAUUUACGACACCUGUAACCCUAUUCUAAUUUUGAGAGAAUGUUAUACAGACCCAGAGUAGCACUGACAUUUGAUAAGUAUUUAAAAGCAUCAACUCCAGUGACAGUACUGACAGGACACCAAGGUCCUGCUGAAUGAGCGUGAUGGUAGAUAUUGGACAGGCUCUUGGAGCAUCAAACUGGGAGAAAGACUAAAGUGUAGCUCUACAGCAUUGUAUUAAAUUAAACUUGUUUUAGUUUUUAAUCAAAGUAACAUGGUUAUGUGAGGUACUUCGUGAAAGGUACAUUGCAAGACUAUUUUUUCUUUUACAAGAAUAUGUAAUAUAUGCAAAUAAAACACACAAAUUAAAAGGGAAAAGAAGCAGAAUAGUAGAAAAGAAUCUCUAGUGUAUAAAGAUAGAUUAAAAACUAUUAAGAAAAGCACAAAACUUUAAACAGAGACACCGACAAACAGAAAACUGCCUUUAUUGCAUUGACAAAACACUCAAAAAAUUCUGAAAAAUCCUAAAUUUUAAUUAAAAUCCUAAUGUUUGUGGUGAAUACUCUGACAAGUGGAUUCUGAGAUGUAUUUGGAAGUGUAAAAGACCAGGGAAAAGUAAUAUUCUUUAAGAACAGGGUGGCUAAUAGGCUUAUCAAAAACAAGUACUUCAACAUAGUAGUCAUUAAUACAAUGUAGAACUGAUUCAAGGAGAGACUUAACUGGCUAGUGGGAUAGAAAUGGAUGUCAGAAAAUAGCCUACCCAUGGACACUUGCAAUGUAUUAAAGGCUUACUUAUCAUGAGAUGGCCUUUUAAAUGACACAUUCAAGGACAAGGAAAUUCACAUGGGGAAAACACUGAACUGGGCCCUUAAUUUUCUCACAGCGUACAUUGAAAACACAUUCUUGGUGUUUCAGGGCUUAUGACAAGUAGAACUAGAAGGACCAUAGGCCUGGAUAUAGAAGAAUAUCUACAUUGCUUUGGGGUAGAAUAACUAAGAAGCAAUAAUCAAAAA
rnacentral:lncRNA from 1 species